UAGCUCAGAGGUAGAGUGCUUGCCUUGCAUGCAUGAGGCCCUGGGUUCGAUUCCUCAG
rnacentral:tRNA from 1 species